UACGAAGGGGCUAGCGUUGUCCGGAAUCAUUGGGCGUAAAGCGCGCGUAGGCGGCCUCAUAAGUCCGUUGUGAAAGUCAAAGGCUCAACCUUUGAAAGCCGGUGGAUACUGUGGGCUAGAGUCCGGAAGAGGCGAGUGGAAUUCCUGGUGUAGCGGUGGAAUGCGCAGAUAUCAGGAGGAACACCAAUAGCGAAGGCAGCUCGCUGGGACGGUACUGACGCUAAGGCGAAAAGCGUGGGGAGCGAACAGG
rnacentral:rRNA from 1 species